rnacentral:rRNA from 1 species
AUGAACCAGGCUGUUGCGAUGCAACAUCUUGCAGAGCAGAUAUGCAGAGUGACGCUAUGGGACAGGGGCGAGGUGUCUGCUGCUGCCAAGAACCUCCUCCGGUCCAUCCAGCAGCCCCCCUACUCGAUCCAGGCAGACACAGUCUGCUGUUACUCCCUCAGCAGGUGCCACUCCGGAAGCAGCAGCCACGACGGCUAUGCGUCUUCUAGUGACGGCGGCGGCACUCCUACUCCAACCAGCAGCAACGGGCGGCAGCUUCACUAUCCGUCGCAUGCCCACAUGGACCCUGGCCCUGUCAGGCUCAUCUUGCCGGGCUCUUUGGCCCAGCUAGAGGACAUUAUCUGCAAUUGUCAAGUGGUUUUUGGACCUGAUUACAAACAAGUGCUACUCCAAGCAUUCUCGGCCAACUCACAUGCAUGGAGCAGGUUUUUCUGUGAACCGGACAUACCAUUGGUUCUUCGUGGAAGAACAGUGGAUCCUUCUGAGCAUACAGAAGAAUUGACCACUAUGUUGAAAAUCAACACCCAAGUCCUCUGUUUGAUGAAACACCAGUUAUGUGAGCAGAGUCGAUCAUUUGAGGAGUUAAAAAUAGGAUACUUUGCGCAGUUUGCAAAGUGCCCUAUCAAGGAGCUCUUGGAGAUUGCAGUCUGUCUUAGCGAGGCAGUGUGGCCUCCCACCCGUAUUCCUCCAAUGCUGCUUGCCUGUGAGGCACUUAAGGAUGUCCUUCCUCUUAUAGAAAAGCUUCCUUCCAGUGAAUCUGGUGACUGCCUUUCCAAUAUUUUGCACAACAUGAGAGAGGCUUUCAGGAGAUUAAUGGACCAUACCAAGCACCACAUAGAAUCCAAUAUGAAAACGCAUCAGGAUGACAUUAUUCAUCCAAUGACAUGUUUCCUCAUAUGCUCAGUGAGAUCCCUCCGCAGUCACAGAAAUUUAGUGCAAUCCACUCUUGCCCCUGGUGAUGACUCCAACUCAUUUGGCCAUCUUCUGCAUGACGUGAUUACCUGCUGGAAAUCUGGUCUCACUGAGUAUGCAAACAUAUAUCACGCAGAUGUGCAGCAGCGAUGCAUUUUCCUAUUGAACAACAGAGACCAUUUUAAUAGGAAGACAGAUGGCCUGUUGAAUGAGUUGCUAUCUGAUUGGCAGAUUGUUGAGCAGUAUGAUAAUGAGUUCAAGUUACUCUUGAUUAAGAGAUAUACAGAUGAGGCCUGCGCUCCGGCCAAGUCUUGUUUAAAUCGCAGCUGCUGGUGGUGGUGGGGCAGUCAGCGUCCAUCCUUAGACGCGUUUACUUCGAAAUUCAACGAGACUUUUGAUAGUCAGAGAACUUGGAAGGUUCCCGAUGUUGCCCUACGGCAGGAUCUGAGAGAUAGCAUAGAGGAGUGCAUCCUGUCAGACUACACAAGGUGUCUCGAGAACUGUUCAAGUUCGGGGCUGUUUUGUUCAUGCUUGCAGAUAGAUUCAGCAGGGGAGAUAUAUACCACUGAGAACUUACAAACAACGGUGCAGAGCUUAUUUGAAGGUUGCUGA